GGGGGUGUGGCUCAGUGGUAGAGCACUGGCCUCACACGUGUAGGCACUGGGUUCAAUUCUCAGCACCACAA
rnacentral:tRNA from 1 species